AAGCCCGAUGUGAAUCAAACCUCCAAGAACGUCCACACACGCGCCUAGCUUCAACGUGUCGAUUGGGCAAGUCUCUGGCUUAGGUGGAGUUGGUGUUGGCGGUGUUACGACCGGUGGGCUUGGUGUUGGUGGCGUAACAACAGGUGGCGGUGGGCACGGUGAUGGCGGUGGCGGUGGGCACGGUGAUGGCGGCGUUACGACGGGUGAAGGCGUAUGAGUGGGUGGUUUAGGGGUGGACGGAGGUGGUUUAACAGUGGGCGGUUUCGUGGGUGGUUUCGGGGUAGACGGAGGAGGUUUAACGGUGGGCGGUUUCGUGGGUGGUUUCGGGGUGGACGGAGGUGGUUUAACGGUGGGCGGUUUCGUGGGUGGUUUCGGGGUGGGAUGAGGUUUGGUAGGGGGUUUCGGAUGUGGGUGUGGUUUGACAGUGGGCGGUUUGGUAGGGGGUUUAGGGUGUGGGUGUGGUUUGACGGUGGGUGGUUUGGGAGGUUUUACUGCCGGUGGUUUAGGCGGUUUGCUAGGAUGUUUAGGCGGUUUGUGGGGGUGAGGUGAUGGUUUAGGAGGGCUACAGUCGCAAGCGAAGGAGACGGCAAGAAAGCCAAGGAAGAGGAGGAUAAGAAAAGAGAGGUUUUGUGUACGAGACCCCAUUUUUCUAGAGUGAGGGUGUGGUUUACCCAAA
rnacentral:lncRNA from 1 species